UACAGAGGGUGCGAGCGUUAAUCGGAAUUACUGGGCGUAAAGCGCGCGUAGGCGGCUUUGCAAGUCGGGUGUGAAAUCCCCAGGCUUAACCUGGGAACUGCAUUCGAGACUGCAUUGCUAGAGUAUGGGAGAGGGCAGUGGAAUUUCCGGUGUAGCGGUGAAAUGCGUAGAUAUCGGAAGGAACAUCAGUGGCGAAGGCAGCUCGCUAGGACGGUACUGACGCUGAGACGCGAAAGCGUGGGGAGCAAACAGG
rnacentral:rRNA from 1 species